UAGCUGCUGAUGAUGAGCUCAGGAGUAAAGGAUCCAUUGAUAGCCGGGCCUCUGCUUCAAGUCUGGCACUUUCCCACUGCACCAUGUGGCGAGUUGAUGGAGUUUCCAAUCCAAAGUCAUCAGAUGUUAAAAUGGACUCUGGCUGGUCGAGGCUUGCUUUAACACGCUUCUUUAGAUGCGAGUUCCAGAAGUUCUUGAUUUCAUUGUCUGUUCUUCCAGCAUGGUAUGCAGCUGCAUGAUAGAAGCUUCUUCCUCGGGACAGAAUGGACCACGUUUAAUACCAGGACGGAGAUAAUUUGUCCACCGAAGUCGGCAGCUCUUGCCACAUCGAAGGAGACCUAAAUAAAAGAUUCAGAAAAAGAUUCACUUUUCAGUUUUGUAGAUACAUUUCAUUGAGAUUUACACCAUCUAUAGACGUGGGUGUCCUGUUCUAGGCCUUUAUUUGGCUAGGUGAAUGUAAAAAGUUACUUUGCAACUUAUGCUGACUAGUGGCUAUUAAAUCUCCAGAAAUGAAGGCCAAGAAAGUAACAAUCCGGUAGUCUAGAAAACAAAUGCAUCAUUUACUGUUUCAACUCUAUUCAUCAAGUACCUCUAAGUGAUGCAAUCGAGAGCUAACUAUUGGUAUUAUGAAGAGGAAGAAAUGUCCUCGAAUUUGAUAAAUUUCCAUAGUAAGGUGUAACAUGAGGAAUAGCGGUGUUACCGUCAGGUUGGAACUGUGCCAUUGUGGAACAUGAAGUUUUUCCUACCAUGUCUUAGAGCCCUUGGUGAUAGAUAAUAUGGCUAUAGCAGCACAAAAUUGAAACAUUUAACAUACUCCAACACACUAAUUUAACUGUUGCCUUCUCUUGGUAAUUAGGUCCUGAAUUUAUGUAAAUAACAUGGUGUCAAUUUUAAUUCGUGAGCAAAAGAAGGGAAAGUCCAUGAGAAGAGUAGCUCAUCUUCGUGUCGCUACUCACUAGCUGAUCCACAAAGACAGGAGACAAAAAAAGGAGAUGGACCUUUCCUCUUCUGACCAACUAGACAUAUUUUUUCAUGUUUUGUCUAAUGAAUCUGGGCUGCAAAAUAAGCUGGAAGGAUCAGUAGCCAACCAAAAAGAAAAUUUCCAAGAUGCAACUUGAUCCAUCAAACAGUCCCAUGCGGGCCAUGCCUUAUGCCAGCUUAGAUGCCACAAACACUCAGACAA